rnacentral:rRNA from 1 species
GAUGAACGCUGGCGGCGUGCCUAAUACAUGCAAGUCGAGCGGAUGGAUUAAGAGCUUGCUCUUAUGAAGUUAGCGGCGGACGGGUGAGUAACACGUGGGUAACCUGCCCAUAAGACUGGGAUAACUCCGGGAAACCGGGGCUAAUACCGGAUAACAUUUUGAACCGCAUGGUUCGAAAUUGAAAGGCGGCUUCGGCUGUCACUUAUGGAUGGACCCGCGUCGCAUUAGCUAGUUGGUGAGGUAACGGCUCACCAAGGCAACGAUGCGUAGCCGACCUGAGAGGGUGAUCGGCCACACUGGGACUGAGACACGGCCCAGACUCCUACGGGAGGCAGCAGUAGGGAAUCUUCCGCAAUGGACGAAAGUCUGACGGGGCAACGCCGCGUGAGUGAUGAAGGCUUUCGGGUCGUAAAACUCUGUUGUUAGGGAAGAACGAGUGCUAGUUGAAUAAGCUGGCACCUUGACGGUACCUAACCAGAAAGCCACGGCUAACUACGUGCCAGCCGCCGCAGUAA